GGUCUCGUAGCUCAGCUGGUAGAGUACUCGCGGUACUAAGGCGACGAUGGUGACCAUGUUUUGGUUCGAAUCCCGCCGAGGCCA
rnacentral:tRNA from 1 species